rnacentral:tRNA from 1 species
GGGGUUGAGGCUCAGUGGUAGGGUGCUUGCCUAGAACGCAUGAGGCAUUGGGUUCGAUCCCCAGCACCACA